rnacentral:lncRNA from 1 species
AGUUUUGAUUGAAACGACGCCGUUUUAUUUCUCUCCCCCCCCCAAUUCCCUUCUUUCCCGAUUCCACUCUCUUUCUCAGCCUGUACUUCUAUUUCUCUCCUCCGAUUCCCUUUUCUUUCCCAAUUCCCUUUUCUUUCUCAGCCUUUCUCUGACUAAGCCAUUUGCCUAAAUCAUAGUUCCCCCGAAACCCUCAUUUUCUCCCAAAUCAUAGUUCCCCCAAAACCCCAAAAUUUCCCUAAAUCAAACCCAUUUGCUGUCUCCCUCUCUCUUUUCGAUCGACAGGUAUUAUAAUUUUCUAAUCAAACCCAAAGCUCCUUCUUUCAUUUUGAUUUCAUUGCAGCAAGCAAGCCGUUUAUUUUUUAUUUCAUUUCGACUUCGAUUUCACUUCUAUUUUAUUUUUGCAGCAAGCAGAAAGAUUAAGGGAUUUCAUUUUGAAAUCAAACCCGAUUGAAGGCUACCUUUGGCGAGUCCAUCAAAUCAAGGUACUCUUAUUUACUUGUUCUUUUGAAUCCUAGACUUUAGCAUGCUGACAUUUAUAUUUUUUUUUCUUUUGUGUUCUUUAGUAUAUGCCAUCUAUUGGGAAUUUUAUUGUUGUUCUCUUUCCCUCUGCAUAUGUAGUUAGUUUCCUAUUAUGGGAAUUUAUUUUGUUGGUUUUGAUUUCUGCGUUUGAUUUUGGCUUUUUGGUUCUUUGAGUCGGAAGAUUGAUGGCCUUUUAUGGGCUAGUUUGAUUUAUAUUGGCAUUUGAUUAUACAUGAUUGGAAAAUGGUUUAAUAUGUAUAGAUUCUCCAAGACUAGAAACUUUAUCCUUGAUGUUUCAAGUUACUGAAUGAUGAACUUGGCUGUCUUGAAACUACAACCUACACAUGAGUAACCUUCGAUACCGUAAACAUGUUUUCGGUUAUCAGUUCAGUGUCUUCUCAUGUGAUCAUUGGUAGAAGCAAUUCCUUAUAGGAUUAGAUAGUUUAGGUUAGAUAACCCGACCUAUAUUGAAUUGCUUGCUCUAUUUAUUGUGUUUUGGUUUCAAUGGUCAAUAUUCUGGGCUUAUUAAACUCUAAAAAUGCGUGUCACCAGUCAUCCUCAUGAAAACAUGCCUCAAAAACACUCUUUGCUUCUGCUGUUGUGCUUGUGCUGCCUUACACUCAAAUAUUUAUGUUACCAAUCUUAGCUGGUCCAGUCACCUUUUCUUCCAUGAUCUUCUGCAUAUUGUGUAACGUUAAUACAUCCUUCCUUAUCCUGCAUUGCUUUUACACUGUUAAAUAGCGGGUAGUAGCUAUCCCUGAAGUUUUCUGGCGAACUUUAGAGUCAUAAAAACCCUGGCUAAAGACUUCCUGAUUCUGAAAUUUGCUGCCUUACUUUGGAGGGCACCUAUUGAUAUAAUUAAUAAUUACGACCUUUUUUGGGUAAAAUAAUGUGAAUUUGCAUUUAAUUAAAUUGUUUAUUUACCAUAGAAUCUUUUUUUCGCAAGCCCCAUGAUAUAUAUUUUCAUUUCUCAUUAUUUUAUUCUAAGAUCUUUUUAUCAUAAUACUAAAUCUACAGUUAAUGGCUCUCUACAUACUAUUGGUGCAUGCCUCUCCAGCUGUUAUCAAUUUUAUUAUGUGCAUGCCUUGCCAUUUUCUUUUAUUUUGGUAUAUAUCAUUGAAGCUUGGCAGUAUACAUACUAUUGGUGCUUAUAAUUUGCUCAUAUCGUUGGCUGUCAUUAGUGAUACCGUAACUGCAUAUUUGUUUUAUUUUCUCCUUAAUCCUCAAGUCAUGCUCUAAGAAAUAUAUGUUCUGGUGUUGAUUUUUUUUAUGCAUGCUUAAUUUAGUAAAAAUGUUGUGUAUUCAUGGAAUUUUUGCAACGAUUAUUUUUAUAUAAAAAGUAAAGGAGCAUUCUGGAAUUAAGAUGAAAUGUAAAAUUUUUAGAAGCAAAUUAAUCAAUUAAUACUUUUAAUCACAUGUAUUAAUCUAUUACAAUUUAUUCUUAUUUUUUUAUUUAUAUACAUGGUUUCUACAGGAAUGAAAAUUGAUAACAUUAAUUCAUGAAAUAUGAUAAACCCUAUUUUUAUAUAUUCUGAAAGCUCAGAAGAAGGCACUACUAGAUCAUGUAAAGUUUUAUUUUGGCUGCUAACAACGAAAAGGUCUUCUAAUUCUCUCAUCAAAUGGAAUUAAAAAGAUGAAGUGAAGCUCUCUAUCAAAUAACUUGUUCACUUAAAUUCUUUUUACUUGCCAUUAUAGAUUUUGAACUACUUUAAUCUCUGAACUGUUAAAAAACUUAGCUUGUUUUCUUGCUUGUGUCUGCCAUUCCAAUCUUAUCAGGAUGAUGCAAUAUGUGCCUUCCUAUGUGAUAAUAAAUUUGAAACCAAAUUCCACAGUUUCGCUUUCUUUCAUGUUUGAUGUGCUAGUAUCUUUAGGUUAUCUUUGAAUGAGAGAAAUGAAAUGAUUUGUUUGGUUGGCUUGAUAUAUAUCUAUAUUUAAUGGUAAUUGGAGAUAUGUUUUGAGUGAUUAGGAAUAUUAGUCCUUUUGGUGCAUACAAGGACCAGUUUCUAUUAGUAGUAGUAGUUUUAAGUUGGUUAAGUAUUUGUGAGGCCAUAGUGUGCCCUGAGAUCUUAUAGAUUAUGAUUGAACCUUCACAGGAAAGGUAGAGAUUGAAGCUCAAAUCUUAGCUGCUGAAGCAGCAGCAAAAAUGAAGGCAAAGGUUGAGCUGAAAAAGCUACGGGAAAGAGAAGAGAAGCUACUGGAAUUACAUUACAAAAGGUUUUUAUCUUUUUCUUGCGUUUUCUUUUUUGUCCUUAUUAUGUUUAUAUAGUGGAGGGUUUUAGAGGCUAGAACACUGUAAUACCAUAUAGUAUAUACAAAAUAUGAAACAGACCAUGCCAUUAUUUAUUGAACAGGUAAAAAACACUUGAGAUCUAACUUUUGAAUUUUAAUUGUGCUAUUAAUUUAUUAUUUUAAAUUGUAAAUUUAAAUUCAUUAAUUUUUGUAUUUAGUUUUAAAGUUAAAAUUUUAAUAGAAAUUUUUUAUAUUUAUAUCAUUCAAUAUUUUGAUAAUGAAUUUUAAAUUUUUUAUAUUUUUCACGAUUUGUUUAAUAUUUUAUAAUUUUUUUUUCAAAUAAACGCCGCAAACGUUAGCGGCGUCGGAAAUAGCGGCGUUUUUAGCGGCGCUUGGAAAAACGCCGCAAAUAGUUUUAGUGGCACUUGAAAGCGCCGCUAAAGGCCUAAAAAACGCCGCUAAAAGUCAGUUUUGCUGUAGUGUUAGAAAGGUUUAAUGGAAAAUUAUCAACUUUAAAAUUCAAUUGAUAAGUGAUAUGGCUAAACAAGAGGUUAGAUAAGCAUUUUGAUGUGGGUUUAAUUGAAUAUGAAAGAGGAAAAGUAGGAAAUUUCAUCUUGAAUUUUUACUUAUUAAGAAUUGAGAGUAAAUCCCAUAAAUGGGAAAUAAGGAUUUGUUGCAAAUGAUAAUUGAUUUAGACCUUUAAAUAAAUGAAAAUUGAUGUCAGUAAUUAAUUUUUAUAAGAGUUAAAGUUUGGUACGAAUAUGAUUAAUUUUGGUAUCAUAAACCGGUGGCAAUUCAAAGGCAGUGAAGCAACCUUAAAGAUUUGGAAAAAAUCGAAUUGAAGUAAAGCCAUACAUAGUUAAAAAGUUUAAUGAAACAAAAAUAAGUUGUAUAUGAAUUUUGAAUUGAGAACUAAAAAUAUUUUAGUGAAGACAACUCAAAACUGUCUGGUAGCUAGGGAUGAGUAAAAUCCGAUUCGAUUCGAAAAACUCAAUAAAAAAUUCAAAUUUUGAAUUACAUAGUUUGAGUUAUUUGAGUUAAUCAAGUUAUUGGGAUAAACUCAAAUAAAAAUUAAGUUUUUCGGUUUAACUUAAAUAUGAAUUACACAAUUAAAGUUAUUCAAAAAUUCGAAUAAGAAAAGGCAAAACUACAUUGUUUUGAUAAAUGUUUACCUUUCUAAAGUUAAAAGUCAAAACCAUUAAGUUAAAAGGAAAAAUUACGUCAUUUUGAUAAAUGUUUACUCAUUAAAUUAAAAGGCAAAACCAUUAUAUUGUUUAUGUAAUUAAAUAAUCUUGAACUUUGUCUACUAGUUAAAUAAUUAGUCCAUGUAAACGCAACAUUGAGUAUAAAUAAUAGGAUUCGUUAACUCGACUUGACUUUACUCAGAAUUUUUUGACUUGAUUUGAUUCGAUUGGAAAAAAAAUUCAAAUUGAUUUCGGUUGCUAAAAUAGGAUUUGUCAACUCGGCUAACUCAAAAUUUUUUUACUUGAUUCGAGUCGACUCGAUUGAAUACUCACCCUUACUGGUAGCAGCCCUAUUUUGACGUCGAAAAAGUGCUGCACCUUUUGUGCUUGCUAUUAAAUUCUAAAAUUUUUAUGGGAGAAAGGCAAUUGAGUCUAGUUUCUAAAACAACAAACAGACCUUGAUUUUGAAUUUGUGGAAUGAGAUAUAAACAAAAUAGUGACUGAUCUACUACGGUUAGACAAUCAUGUAAUUUUAAAAAAUUAGGUUAUUUAAAUUAUUUUGUAUAUAUGAUUUUUUUUUUUGAAACAAAUUGUAUAUAUGAUUUUAAAUGAAAGAAAAAGGUAUCUAUUGAGAAUGGAUUAUGUUAGGAUAGACCAGAUUAAGCAACAAGUAAAAAAAAAUAACUGAAUAAAUUGAGAAAUUGAACAGACAAAUUUAAUGUGGAAAACCCCACAAAAAGGAUAAAAAACCACGGGCAAAGAUAAUUUUACUAUAAUGACAAAAGAACGAAUAGUACAAAAGAUGGAGAUAAAAAACUAAAUCCCGAAAACCCGAAAACAAAGAACCCUCAAAACGAAAACACAAAAUUCUCUAAAUGUGUUAUGAGUUCUAAUCUCUAACAGGUGUAUUUUCUAAGGUUAUAAAAGAACCUAUUUAUAGGCUAAAUUAGUAGGUCAAAUAAACUAUGCUAAUAAAUGCUAAAUAUAUUAUACUCAUAAAUUCUAAUCUUCUAGAAAGAAAAUAUAUUUUGUUUAACUUGACUUGCAAGCAAUCUCUUAGAAUUUGGGUCAUACAACUCUAACAAUCUCCACAUUGACACGAAUUCUUACAACGCCAUCUUUGCCAAAGCCCGCCACGGGCCUAUCUUGAACUAUGCAGGGAAUUAACUGAGUCGAAUUUGUACUUAAAAGAUGGAAGACUUCUAGCCUUCGACUUGUGCAUUGCCAAAUCAAAACUAACCCGAGUCUGAUUUUCACGAACACAGUGCCCUAACUUUUCAAAACCUACAUCCAAAAGAGAACCUUUUUUCAACGAAACGGUCAUACCUUUUUCCCUCUUAUGACCAAGUUGCCUUUGCUCCAAACGAGUUGAAUUUGACUCCGUAACGGAUGAGGGACGUCUGAUUUCACCGGUCACUGUAGAACCUUCUAGAAUAUAAAGACUAUCGGUUCUUUUACCUUUUAAAAAAACGAGAGCCCUACGAGAUACUUUAAUGUCACUCGACUCAAUAUUGAUUCUGCAUCCUUUCAAGUCUAAAAUACUCAAGGAGAUGAGAUUCUUUCGUAAAUCAGGUGUAUACCUAACAUCUGAGAGUACCCUAAUCGUCCCAUUAUGUAUCCUAAUUUUGACAGUACCAAUACCAAUUACCUUACUAGAUGAAUCGUUUCCCAUGUGCACAACUCCACCUUCAACCGAACUGUAUGUGGAGAAUCAUUCUCUAUUGGGACACAUGUGGAAAAGACAUCCCGAAUCUAAGAUCCACUCAGACGCAAGCUUAGAGUUAUCGCUCGUUGACACUAACAAGAAAUCAUCACUGCUUUCAACGGCCAAUUUAGCACCAGGUACAUAUUUCUCAUUACUCUCAGCAACGCUUUUAUUUCGCAGUUUAUAACAAUCUGCUUUGACGUGACCUAACUUUUUACAAUAGUGACACAUUUUGUCUCAUUUCUUUGAUGCUACCAAAACGGAAGCUUGCCUAUCUACCUUGCUAUCCAAACCAAACUCAUUGUAGAGUUUUUCUCCACUCAAAAAAUAACUCUUUACAUCUUCGAACAAGAGUUUGUCUCUACCAUAAAUCAGGGUCUCCUUGAAAGACUUGUAUGAAGGGGGUAAAUAGUACAAUAAUAGCAUAGCCUGAUAUUCAUAGUCAAUAUGAACAUCAAUGUUCUUUAAAUCAUUUAAAAGAGUAAUGAAUUGAUUGAUGUGAUCUCUAAGAAGUUCAUCUUCGUUCAUGUAAAACAUAAAUAGACGAUGUUUCAACACUAAACGAUUAGCCAAAGACUUAGUCACAUAAAGAGUUUCUAACCUUUUCCACAAGGCAGAUGAGGUCUUCUCUAUCAAUACCUCCUACAAUACCGUAUUCACGAGGCACAACUGGAUUGCAGACAAUUUCAUCAAGCUCUUCCCAUUCUAUUUAAUUUAGAUUCUCGGGUUUUUUCUCGGUAAUAACCUUUUUCAAGCCAGUUUGAACUAGAAUUGCCAUCAUUCGAACUUGCCACAUAUUGAAAUUUGUCUCACCAUUGAACUUCUCAAUUUCAAACCUUGUUGUUGCCAUAUCUGAACGGGCUGAUCUAUGAAAAUUGAAUUAGCUCUGAUACCACUUGUUAGGAUUGACCCGAUUAAGCAACAAGUAAAAAAAAUAGUAGAAUAAAUUGAGAAAUUGAACACACAAAUUUAACGUGGAAAAACCCUGUAACUCCCUGAUUAAUUUAUUUUUACUUCUGUAAAAUCUAAUAAAAUUGUGUAUCUGCUUCAGUGGUUAGGUGUUCCGGGUGUGUGUGAAAGGUCUUGGGUUCAAGUCCCACUUCUAUAAAUUUUGUUAUUUUUAGAAUUAAGCCUUACCCUUGUUAAAUGGGCUUAUAGAAAAUUGUUUGUUAAGCCAUAUCAGAAUGAGUCUGCUGGCUCGAAUGGUAAGGAAGUUAGUGUAUUGGAGGUCCUGUGUUCAACUCCCCGCACGAGCGUAGGUAUUAAUUUUUGCUCUAUUGUCUGAUAGAGUUUCAGUAGAGCUUAAAGUCUGAGGGAGUUAUGAGUAGUGGGAUUAGAGGGAGAAAUCUAAGGGAUUUGAGAUAUCCACUACUUGUAUUUUAUUUUUAUUUUUGUUUUGAAAUUUAUUUUCUCUUCCUUCAAGAAAAAUCUGACGAUAAUUUUUUUGUUUUCCCUUCUUGUUGUUUCUUUUCCCCAUCUCUGCGACCUUUUAUUUUACUUUUUUUUCAUUCGGUUCUUAAAUCCGUGGUUUGGUCGUACUGUUGGAAUUUUUAGGUUCGUUUCUUUGGUGUGGUAAGUAGAUUUCUGUUGCCGUCAUUUUUGGUUUGGGACUUUCUUUAUUAGCGAGAACAAUCUAUGGUGAUUGAAGGGUGGUAUUGUUUAGGAAUAGAUUGUGGAGUAGAGAAUCACAUUUCAAUGGUUUAGAACGCGUAGAGAGGGUUUGUUGACUGUGGUAAGUCAGUUCCGUGUUGAUUCUUGUGUCGAAUUCGUUACUCAAUUUGCUAAAUCGAUGUAGAGUACCUUGUUUUUAGGUCUUGGAAGGCUCAGGAUAGUUUCUGCAUCAAAAUGAUACCAAGUGUGUACUCGAAACGCAGAAAACGAGGAUUCGGUAAAAGUUGAAAAACUGCACUGUCGACGCUAGCGUGUGGUCACUCAUGUGGAUGGCUGUGUGCAAGACACGGCCGUGUGGUGGCUUGAGUGUGGCCGUAUGGGCCACACGGGCUAGGCCAAUUUAGGUGUGUAGGCCACACGCGUGUGUGGGCCCACACAAGCAUGACACAUGUGCGUGUGGAUUCUUUGGCCAGGCCGUGUGGGCCAUCAGGAAUAUGUGGUCCCAUAUUUCUGUAAUUUUUUGUAAGGUCGUACGGGUUGCUUUGAUAGACUGUGGGCCUACUGUAGGGUCGGUAAGGGCUAAAUAAACCCUAUUCUAUAUGCGAUGGAAUUUUGAUAGACUGAUCUAAGUAGGAUACUAAAUGUAUGUCCAACUGUAUUGUGUAAGCAUGUCUAUUAUCUGUACCUAAGUAUGUUAAGCAAGUUUAUUCUGUAAUUUUGUAUCUAUUAUCUGCAUCUGUUUUGACGUGGGAUUUAUCUGCGGAGGAAGUGUUCUGUACUACGAUCAUUGUCUAUUAUCUGGCAGCUUGGCUGCACUAUAUCCGAUACGUGUCGUAAUGGCACAAUAUGGUGUGUAGGGAUGGGUUGGUUUUUUUAACCCCACAUGGUGUGUUGAGAUGGUCGGAGAUGGUGUGUAAAGGAUAGGGGUAGGGUUCUAUUUACUGUAUCUGAAAUAGGCCUAAGCCCAAAUCUGUAUUUGUAUCUGACAGUGCAUAUGAUUCUGUUUGUAUUUCAUGUCUAUUUUUGUUGGGUUAUACACUGAGUUUACGUAAACUCACAUCUGUUAUCUGUUCUAUUCAGGUAAUCUACAGACCUAGGCAGAUCGGUGCGGUGGAGUCUUGCGGUGACCACUAGUCCACGAACUGAAUUAAUUAGGGGUUUUGUUCAUUUAUUUCAAAGGUUUUUUUUGGGUUGAUUGGACUUUUCGGAUUGUUUUCUAAAAUUUCGGGUUUUAGAUUUUGUUUAAUAUUUUAUCUGGACGACACGCUAAAACACGGUUUCCAACUGCAAAGGUUUUCUAAAAAUAUGUACUGCAUUUUUAAAAUAUAACGAUUUUAUUAAACUUCCGCUGUAGAUUACAUUUUUAGCAAAU